CAAGUAUUAGUACGAAGAGUCCAUUUGAUUGUGGAUUUAAUGACAAACAUUUAAAAGUUGGUAGGCUAUCAUUUGACAAGAUACCCAACAGUGGAUGAAGCAGGAACGACACCGGCGUGCCUGAAUGUUCGCUUCGAGGUUUCACUAUAGAACCUCAUCUUGCUCCACCCUCGUCUCCUCAUAAUCGUCGCUGGAUUCGUUUACUCUGAAUUGCACGUACUCUAGACUUGCUAAUCAACAGGGUUGAUUGUUAUUAAGCAACCACAUAAGUGUCAAGCGACACCAUGGAAGAGACAGGGGUCGGCCUUUCCUCUGAACGUGUGUCAUAUACAGUAAGCAAUGCAGACAGAGAAUACACAUUUCAUUUCGUAAUUCGUUGGUUCGUAGGUUCGCUCAGUCGUUCAUUCAAACGUUUAUUGAGGUUUUGCAUGUUGCAGGGACUUACUUGUUUGUCAACACCUUUCACUCUGUAAGAAAAUUGAAAUAUACAGUGUGGACUAUGUAUGACUAUGCCUACUUCAUCAGUCAGUUAGCCUUCAAGUUUCCAUGUUUAACAGGUUCGCACUGAUUUAUUUCUAGUUUCAAAUAAAAACCUUUCUCUCUUCAA